CAGAUGCAAGAGUUAUAUCUAGCUUGUAACUAUAUCGUUGCUUUAGAUUUUCACUGGCUCACAAUGAAACCAGUUUUAGAAACCACCGCUCUGCAAGCUCCCAGAAGACAGGCAGGCAAUUAAUGCAAAAGAGAAAUAAAGUCAGCAGUCUGGUGUGGAGGAGUCUGGACUUGGGCAGGUGGCCUGGGCUUCCGAAAGGCUCAGGUUGAAGAUUCAGUUCUGCCAGAGAAAACCUGAAGGAUCACGUGGCCCCAGUGAUUAGGAUCAUCCUCCGACCUCAGCGGGGCUGAAAUCUAAAACCCGCACUUUCUGAAAAUCUCGGCCCCACCGCUCACUGCAGCGGGUGCUCUGCCACCUGCUCCUACUUUCUGCAGAAUUCAGGCAGCGCACAGGAGGAACCGAGACACCAGAAUGGGACAGAUUUGUUUUUAGGCCGUUAAACCACAAUGGACGCAGCCUGCGAGGCCAGCUGGUGUGUGUGGGUCCAGCCGUCAUAAACCAGCUCUCCUGCAGGUGCCAGGGUUUCAUAUCCAUGCAUCUCCACCGCGAGUCAGGGUUCGCUAAGAGUUCCGAGGAAGGAACACGUAGACUCGGGGAAACUGUGAUGCAUCUGAUGACAGGUCAUGCUGGGCAGUCACGCGCCAGGCCACUUCUAGAUGCCCAUCUCCAGAUCACUGACGCCUGACUGGUGACCAUACUGGACCAUCCCAUCCUCGGACUAAAGGUGCAGGACUGACAGUUCUCCAGGCCCAGAGAAGCAACAGCUGACCUCAGGACCAGCUGCGCUGGAUAAUGACCCCUGCCCUGGUGCCGACCAGUCGAUCAGUGGAGGCCACAACCCUGGAAGGACACUUAAACUGCUUAAUACUCUAUUAAGAUCUUCCUCUGGAAUCCCCCCUAAAAUCUCCACCCUUAAAAGCCUUAGGGCGGAGAACCCAGUGCGCUUU